rnacentral:tRNA from 1 species
GGGAAGGUGGCUCAGUGGUAGAGCGCUUGACUUGCAUGCAUGAGGCCCUGGGUUC